rnacentral:rRNA from 1 species
AGCAAGUCGAGCGGUAACAGGAAGUAGCUUGCUACUUUGCUGACGAGCGGCGGACGGGUGAGUAAUGCUUGGGAACAUGCCUUGAGGUGGGGGACAACAGUUGGAAACGACUGCUAAUACCGCAUAAUGUCUACGGACCAAAGGGGGCUUCGGCUCUCGCCUUUAGAUUGGCCCAAGUGGGAUUAGCUAGUUGGUGAGGUAAUGGCUCACCAAGGCGACGAUCCCUAGCUGGUUUGAGAGGAUGAUCAGCCACACUGGGACUGAGACACGGCCCAGACUCCUACGGGAGGCAGCAGUGGGGAAUAUUGCACAAUGGGCGCAAGCCUGAUGCAGCCAUGCCGCGUGUGUGAAGAAGGCCUUCGGGUUGUAAAGCACUUUCAGUCAGGAGGAAAGGUUAGUAGUUAAUACCUGCUAGCUGUGACGUUACUGACAGAAGAAGCACCGGCUAACUCCGUGCCAGCAGCCGCGGUAAUACGGAGGGUGCGAGCGUUAAUCGGAAUUACUGGGCGUAAAGCGUACGCAGGCGGUUUGUUAAGCGAGAUGUGAAAGCCCCGGGCUCAACCUGGGAACUGCAUUUCGAACUGGCAAACUAGAGUGUGAUAGAGGGUGGUAGAAUUUCAGGUGUAGCGGUGAAAUGCGUAGAGAUCUGAAGGAAUACCGAUGGCGAAGGCAGCCACCUGGGUCAACACUGACGCUCAUGUACGAAAGCGUGGGGAGCAAACAGGAUUAGAUACCCUGGUAGUCCACGCCGUAAACGAUGUCUACUAGAAGCUCGGAACCCUCGGUUCUGUUUUUCAAAGCUAACGCAUUAAGUAGACCGCCUGGGGAGUACGGCCGCAAGGUUAAAACUCAAAUGAAUUUGACGGGGGCCCGCACAAGCGGUGGAGCAUGUGGUUUAAUUUCGAUGCAACGCGAAGAUCUUACUACACUUCGACAUACAGAGAACUUACCAGAGAUGGUUGUGCGUUCGGACUCUGAUACAGUGCCUGCAUGGCUGUCGUCAGCUCGUGUUGUGGAUGGUCGGGGUAGUUCCGCACGAGCGCACGCUAUCUAAUUGCUAGCAGGUAUGCUGAUAGCUGGAGAACUGCUGGUGCAUACUGGCGAACAAAAAUACGU